rnacentral:rRNA from 1 species
GACGAACGCUGGCGGCGUGCUUAACACAUGCAAGUCGAACGGUAAGGCCCUUCGGGGUACACGAGUGGCGAACGGGUGAGUAACACGUGGUGAUCUGCCCUGCACUUCGGGAUAAGCCUGGGAAACUGGGUCUAAUACCGGAUAGGACCAUGGACUUCACGGUUUGUGGCGGAAAGCUUUUGCGGUGUGGGAUGGGCCCGCGGCCUAUCAGCUUGUUGGUGGGGUAAUGGCCUACCAAGGCGACGACGGGUAGCCGGCCUGAGAGGGUGUCCGGCCACACUGGGACUGAGAUACGGCCCAGACUCCUACGGGAGGCAGCAGUGGGGAAUAUUGCACAAUGGGCGCAAGCCUGAUGCAGCGACGCCGCGUGAGGGAUGACGG